CCGGUUUAAACUCAGAUCAUGUAAAAUACUAAAGGUCGAACAGACCUUCCAUUUAGCUUCUCCACCAAAUUUUUAUUUUAAUCCAACAUCGAGGUCGCAAUCCUUUUUUUCGAUAAGAACUCUAAAAAAAAUUACGCUGUUAUCCCUAAGGUAAUUUAAUCUUAUAAUCCAAAUUUCAGGAUCAAAAACUCAUAAAUAAAUGUUUUAUUUUAAAAAAAGUUUACCAAAUUUUUCCAUCGCCCCAAAUAAAUACUUAAUUAACACAUAAAUUAACAUCCUAAUUUUAUAUAUUAAACUCAAUAUCAAACUCUAUAGGGUCUUCUCGUCUUCUAUCAAAAUUUAAGCUUUUUAACUUAAAAAUAAAAUUCUAAUCAAUUUUUACAGAGACAGUUUUUUCCUCAUUCAACCUUUCAUUCAAGCUUUCAUUUAAAAAACUAGUGAUUACGCUACCUUUGCACGGUCAAUAUACCGCGGCCAUUUAAUAAAUCAUUGAGCAGACCAGACCUGAAAUUAUUCUCAACAAGCCA
rnacentral:rRNA from 1 species